CUUAUGCCAUGUUCUUGUUAAAUAAGGAGUGUAGCACUUCUUAAUUUUUUAAGGUGUCAAACCAUAUUGGAACAUAUACAUUAUUUUUGGAGCAUUAUAAGACAGUAUAAUAAUGAUCUUACAUGAAUUUUCUGUUAUACAAGGCUCAGAGCUGUGCAUAUAAAUUUUUCUUGUUCAUUUUGUUCCCAUCCACAUUUUUGCGUUUUUGCACAUGAAUGUUGAUUCUUUUUACUGAUGUGUAGAUCAGGAAAGUAGUGUGAGCUCAUUAUUCAGCUUCUAAACAUUUUUGUACCUAUCAUUCAACAGAUAUUCUUACUUAAAUGAAGCAAUUUUAACUCCAACGUAAUUUGUUAAAAGAAUGAUAUUAUCUACUUUUUGUAAUUGCAUUUGAUUGUGGAGAAGAUCUUUGGAGUAGUUGUUGAAUCUUAUACAAGCAUUUAUCUUUUAUCAUCCACUAACAUGAUUUUUAGUAAAUAUGAAACUGUACAACUAACCUGUUAUUAGAUGACAUUGGAUUUAUUUAUAUCCAAUUUCAAUUUUCUGCAUAUAGUUUGCAAUCGACUUCUUCACAAAUUACAUUGCUAUUUCUAUGUCAUGUUGAUGAUCUUCUCUAUUUUAAUCGAUGACCUUUUCGUACGUGGAGAGUGCAUGCACGGAUAGUGCAGUGUGCACUCGCCUCUUCGCGUUGCGCGAAAAGGCA
rnacentral:lncRNA from 1 species